GGGGGCUUGGUUCAGUGGUAGAACGGCGGUCUCCAAAACCGCAAACGGGGGUCCGAUUCCUCCAGCCCCUG
rnacentral:tRNA from 1 species